GCCACUUUGGCUCAGUGGAUAGAGCAUCAGUCUGCGAACUGAAAGAUCCCAGGUUUGAUUCCGGUCAAGGGCA
rnacentral:tRNA from 1 species